ACGCUCGACACCUACGGGGGCAGCAGUGGGGAAUAUUGCACAAUGGGGGAAGCCCUGAUGCAGCGACGCCGCGUGAAGGAAGAAGUAUCUCGGUAUGUAAACUUCUAUCAGCAGGGAAGAAAGUGACGGUACCUGACUAAGAAGCCCCGGCUAACUACGUGUCAGCAGCCGCGGUAAUCUGAGCGGGCUGGCAAGGC
rnacentral:rRNA from 1 species